rnacentral:rRNA from 1 species
UACAGAGGGGGCAAGCGUUGUUCGGAAUUACUGGGCGUAAAGGGCGCGUAGGCGGCCUGUUAAGUCGAACGUGAAAUCCCUGGGCUCAACCCAGGAACUGCGUCCGAUACUGGCAGGCUUGAAUUCGGGAGAGGGAUGCGGAAUUCCAGGUGUAGCGGUGAAAUGCGUAGAUAUCUGGAGGAACACCGGUGGCGAAGGCGGCAUCCUGGACCGACAUUGACGCUGAUGAGCGAAAGCUAGGGGAGCAAACGGG